CUGGCCAAGAAAGCUUCCCUCUUCACCUGCUGCAGAACAGAGCUCAGAGAGGCAGCGUUUCCCUUCCGUUCCCCUGCGCCUAUCCCCGUUUCUUUCCCUUCUUCCCCUUUCCCACUGAUUUUCUCCCAGCCACCUACUAGUUCAUUUUCCCUCCAUUUUCUUUUUAAAUUCAGAAUUGCAUUUUAUUUCCCCCCAAACUGGUGGGCUCCCCUCUCCCUUGGAAAAUGCUACGAUGUCUGUGGUUUGCUAGUGAGCAAAAGGUGGAUGCCUCCAGGAGCAGAACAGCUGGUGGCAUAAGGUAAGGGGGUGGCUCAAAUUGCAUAACCCAUUCGCUAAGAGGAUGAGUGACUGAGUCAUUUCACAAAGAGAGCUGACCCCUUAGUACUCUGAUCACAAAGCCUAGAGGUUGACAAUAACAUAUGUUUUGUAAAUGUAAUGCCAAACAAACAAAGAAGAGGAACUCCCUCUUGCUGAACGGGACUGCUGUUUUCUUCCUCCUUAUUACAGUUCCUUUAGGUGAAAGGCCCAUGGCAUGCUGUAUGACAACUCCUGUUCACAUGGGAAUUGGAGAACAAGGCCAGGUCUUGGAUAUGCCCAUAUGGCACUGACUAAACCAACAGUUGUUACAUAUUUGCAUCCAAAAGCAAUAUUUGGCUUCAUUAACCAGAGCCCGCUGUCUGCAGUCCUGAGCUCCACCUUUCAAGAUGGAGAAUGACUUUUGAUCUCUGAAGCCGCACCCCACAUCUUCCUGUAACAAUAGCAGCUGCUUCACACAAGAUUGGCCAGCUGAACAC